GAGGUAAAGCCCCAACCCCCAGGACCUCACCUGCUUGGUGUUAAGAUGAAUUUUCGCCCAAGGGCAAACACUUCCUCUGGCCAUUCAAAUUUCCUUGGUUUGCAUUCCCCAACUACUUAAUCCCUGUAGCUCUAACUUUUUUUAGCCAGAAAAAGUCUUGUGCUGCUAUAAGAGAACAAAUAUAUUGACUUUUUUUUUUUUAAGCAGGCAUAGCCCUUGAGGGUAGUGCAGUACCCAUCUCAAUCCAUUUGGAAUCCAUUGUUAACAAGGCACUCAAAAAUCCAAUGUCUCUCCCGAAGAUUUCUCUUGCUAAUCUUGGAGGAAGAGGCAGUCUUAUGAUCUCAUUCCAAGCCUAGAGAAGAAUGAGCCCUGGCCUGAAGGCUGCAGCCUAUUCCUGACACUCCCUGGAGCACUCCCUUUUGAUUUUGGCCUCACUCACUCCAAGGCAACAGAAAGUCUGGGUCUGCUCAGUCCAGGACAUGCCUGGCAAAGUGACUUCCGACAUACAUCCCUCGCACCCAUCAGUUUGACUCCCGACUCUAGAAUACUGAAAGCUGAUUCUUCCAAAAACCUCCUGGCUAGAGCUCUGGGCCCAACAGAAGAAAGGGAAGAGGAAAAGAUCCUUCCAGGAAACUAAAUAUUUAGAAGAAAGGUCCUUAGGAUUUACUGGGAGAAAGAGAAGGGGAGGAAGCUGAGGCAGAAUUGUCAGGCUCCGGAGCCCACUCCUGGAACAGGAUACGGGGUGGGCACUUCCCCAAGAUGGAGCCCUUGGUCAUGCAAUCUUCUCAAGCCCAGCCUGUUUGCUUUGUCUGUAUGGACUCACGAAUGUAAUAGCUGGGGUGUCUUGACCCCAGGGGCAGCUUCAUUUUAAUCUGGGGUUGCCUUUUGGCUGAGAUCAUUCUCCCAGCAGCCGCAACCUUUGGUCAGUUUUGAACGUCUUCUUCCUGCCUCCGUCUCCCCCCUCGUAACUGGGAACCCCCUUUGGAUUCUGCAGUUCUUAGAAUUGGGGGAUUUUCAGUUCUUUCUCUUAG
rnacentral:lncRNA from 1 species